UACGUAGGGUGCAAGCGUUGUCCGGAAUUAUUGGGCGUAAAGAGCUCGUAGGCGGUUUGUCGCGUCUGCUGGGAAAACGCGAGGCUCAACCUCGCGCCUGCAGUGGGUACGGGCAGACUAGAGUGCGGUAGGGGAGAUUGGAAUUCCUGGUGUAGCGGUGGAAUGCGCAGAUAUCAGGAGGAACACCGAUGGCGAAGGCAGAUCUCUGGGCCGUAACUGACGCUGAGGAGCGAAAGCAUGGGGAGCGAACAGG
rnacentral:rRNA from 1 species